ensembl:lncRNA
GUAAACAGGUAAUUGCUCUGAAUGGCUUCUGAUUGGAACUUUAUUUUUAGAGCUGUUGGAGGCAUCAGAAAGAUCUCUGCCUGGAGUGAGACUAUUAGCAGUAAUUUACGUUGGAGGAACGCAAAGAACAUCGCUGGGAUCUAAACAUGUUACACUAAGACUAAGAGCAGGCUUUGUGCCUGGAAACAAACAUCAGCCUCCAUGCUAAUCGCAUUAUUUCUAAGUCUGUGGUGGUGCAGCAGUUUGUAGAUAUUCAGUGGAGAGUAAAUGCUUUGCCUUGUGAAGUCCAAGAACUUUAUGUAAGACUUGGUGGCAAACUUUACUGGUAGGAUUGCAGUGAUAAAAUGCUUUUUCUUGAGCUUCUGGAACUCCGCAUGCUUAGGUUGUAAAUGACCUUUGCACUGUGGCCUCUGCCCCCCCUCCUGAACCUGUUCUGGAGUACCUAUCACAUUGCUUAGAUCUCCUUUCCUGGGAGUAUUCACUUUUGGGUCCUCUGUUAAAAUUAUUAGAACUAAAGCUUAACUGCCGUCCUUGUAGAGUUUAUGACUUCUCAUAAAGAAGAUAAAUUGCCAUUGAUUAUUCCUGCUUAGAACAGACAGUGUAAGUAGGCUCCUAUAGCCAAUGCUCUAGGUGGGUCCCCACAGUACAGUGCUGAAGUUAAAUAUUUACUUGCUGCACAGGACUUUGGUCUUGUGCAACCCUUAUGAAUGUCAGUUGCUGGAACCAGGAGGGAAGUACUGUGCCAAAGAUAAUGACAAGGUAAAAGUCUCACCCUCCAGACUGGAGCAGUCUGCGCUCCCCACCAGCUAACUGUCACCAGGAGGCUUGGCCUCUAGUGCCUCCUUACAUACAAAUUAGAUAGAGAUUAAUUAACACAAUUUCCAGACAAGUAUGAAUCAAGAAUGUAAAAGGUGUUAGCUCUUUUUGGUUUGUUCUUGCGUUGUGAUCUUAAAGCAUCCUGUAGUAUACUGGUGUUGACUGUUGGUAGUCCCUGCUGCAUGCUGUGAGCGGGUAAUUGGGGUUGUACCUCCACUCAUAGUGAAAUGACUCGAGUCUGCCUUUGCCACAUCUGGUUGGCUUUCUAAUCUAACUCCUGUUUAUACUUAAACAUACCUUUAGCUGGAAGAAACUGUGUGUGCCAGUAAGCCAGCAGUCGCUGGCUCUUCCUUCCUUCCAGCACAGAAAGCUUUCUGGUUUUAAUAUACAUUGUAAUUUGGAGAAUAGCAACAACAACCAAACCAAGAAAAAAAGUAUCCUUAUUCUUGUAAGCAUUUGCUGUCAAGUAUGAACUAAGCGUACUUGCUUGGGUGUUUUCAGCUUACUCUGUGCCUCUUUCCUUGCUGUGAUGGACUUUCUUGCAGAGGUCUAAAAGGUGUUUGAUAAACUGCUUUGAGAAGAGGAGAAUUCCUCUGGAACUGAUGAGAUUAGAUGCAUUCCUCGGAGAUGUGACACAUCUCAGUCUUGAGUGCUUUGCUGUGGGCAGCCCGGCAUGUGACACCAAGCACUGUAUACAAGAGAACUCAUUUCUCCAGCUAAGAGGCUUUGUCAGUGGGAGGCAUCUCAGACUUUCCUGUUUGCCCCAUGGAUGUAUAUAGAAUAGGAGCUCCAGGUAAUCAGGAGAAAAAAAUCCACCAUCAAAGAACUAACUACAGCUGAAAAGCCCUGCUGAUGUGUGGUGCUUCAGGUGAAGGAAUUUCUGCAUGCUGCAGUGAAUACCCGUUUCUGAGAGGAACAGCAAAGAAACAUAAGUGCAAAAACUGAUGGACCAUUACAUCUUCUAAAAUGAGCCUAUUCACGCGUUUCUACUGGAAACUAGCAUGUCUUGAAGCAUCACCUGUGGCCUUACUGGAAUUGCCUCAGUGUUUCUGGACCAAAUUCUUUUCUUCCUGAGAGAAGAAUCCAUCACCAAUUUAAUUACCAGCAUAGCACAUGGCUUCCACAGAAGACCUACAGUGGUGGUGUUUCCUCAGUGCCGGGAGUAGAAAAGGGGCAGCAGCUGAGAAACGCAAGUAAAUAACCCCAACUGCCUAGUGAUACUGAACUGCUUGAGAAGUGAUGGCAAGUACGUUUCAAUGCAACUUUUUCACCUCCUUUUCCUAAGGCAUGCUUUUUCCUGUACUGUUUCUGUAAUACCUCCCAGUGAUGCAUGCAGGGAGGAACCUGAUCAACUUGUUACUUACACAGAGGAGGAAAGAAGACAAGCCCAGAGGGGGAGGCAGAAGUGAGCAUUAAACAUUCUUCAUGGCUGCCUCUUUUAAUGAUCUGAAGAAAACUGUCGCUUGUGUCAUCUGAAGUGAUCUUCACAAAGCCCAAGGUAGAAAAGUCAUACCUGUAUUAGAUGCUUAGUGUCUGCAGUCAAAGUCUUACAUUGUGCCUUUAUCUUGAUUACCUUUGUUACCUUGGGCACUUGACGGGGAAGAAAGCCACGUUGUUCUGAUUGCUUCAUGUUUCCAAGAUACUUUUUUUUUUGAGGGGAAAGAUUUCCUGUGCUUUGUUCGACCUCUGAAGCAGAAUUUGGUCUUUCUGGGAAUUGUGUGAGAGCAAGUGAUUGCCUGGAGCAAGAGAAUACAUUCUGAAACUGCAGUAGCAAAGACCUUGAUCUCAAAGGCCACCUGCUACUGCUCUCCUUCUCUUCAGCCUUGAAGUUCACCAGGUUACAAACUCGGCUUGUCAUCUUCCUAUACAAUGGGUAGCAGUUCUGCAGAAGAUGAACAGAAUGGUUUCUCAAGGAUUACUUCCUGCUUAUAUCCCAGCUAGCAGUCUCCUCCUGUGGAAACCUUGGUGUAGACUUCAGAAGAUAUACUGAGAUGUCUUUUGGCCUUCUUUCUGGAUUCUCCCUUUACUGCUUAGUCUUUUGGGGGCCAGUCAGUAAAUCCAUGUCAACACAUAGCUUUUGACCUUCAGGUUUGCAACCCAGCUAACACAGAUACUUGGUAGGAGUUGAAUAUUCAAUAACAAACCUUCAACUGUUUCGUCCACAAAUUGUUGUAUAUCGAUCAACUUAUGCAAAGGGUUUUCUUAUAAAAAGCUAAACAAACUACUGGGCAUUAUUGAUUGAAGAAAACGGGGAAAAUAUGUGAUAUUCUUUAUUGAUGUGGCUGAGCUUUGCACUUGUUAAGCAAUGCUCUGCGUAUGUAUUUUCUGUUCAUGGUUGAUGUUUAUUUUAUUUGCUGAGAUCAGUCAGAAAUACCUCGAUAGCAUGCUAGGAUUGUGUUUCUGGAGUGAACUCUAUUGGUGAAAGGGAAAUCCUAACCAGCAUCACUGUGCACAGGUCUGCAGAUGCUUUGGUGAUGUUCCCUGAUGUGGUACUGUCUUAGUUCUGAAUGUGAGGCACAAAGGGCAGAGCACCUUCUCAGUCAUUUUGCUUUUAAGUAGUUCUGAUAGUUGAGUAGAGCUGUUCUAAAAUGUUUUCUUCUCUUUCAACUUAUUCUCUUCACCUUAAACACAAACACAAGAAUCCCAUGGACGUUUCAAGACUAUGGCUCUUUCAAGACUAUCUAGGAUGAGUGAUUGCAGGGAAUGCAAGGUGCAGUCAUUUUUUGUGUUUUGUUCUGUCUGCUGUUUGGCACAAGAGAGACUCCCCUGGCCCCCAAGUGCUGCCAACAAUUACAGACACUUACCAGUCCCCAGCGGGAAUAACUGUUUUCAGCCAAUAUUUACAGCCUGCUCUGUGCUGGAAGAAUGGAGCUACUGCUGCUACUGUAAGUUGGAGAUGUAGGGAGGCUUCCUUUUGGCUCUUCAGUAAGAAAUAAGGUGUAAAAUACAGCUCUGAUAGCGCCUGUUAGCUUUAUUAAUUGCCCAAGAAGUGCUGCAGAAGAUGUUGCAUAGCUGCAGGCUUCCCCAGCUCCAACUAAUCAGUGUAUCUGUGCUUUCUUCUGGGACUGAAUGCUGAUCUGUGAGUAACCGUGGUCGCCUUGAGCUUGGUGUGGAAGGAUCCUCCAUACAGCUGUACAUCACAAAGCACGACUGAGGCCAAGGCUCCAGGAGGUGUUUUGAGAACUGCAUCAGGUCUGGCCGCCUCUUCCACAUGCCUACAAAGGUUGCUGGUUGCUGUUCUGUUGGAAGAAGAGUCAUCAGCUUUUGGGAAGCUGGAAGUUCAAAGCAGCCAACAGUGAGAGUUGAGAUUCUGCUGUCUCAGCAGUAGUGUGUUCCUACCUGAGACUGCUCUGUGGCCUGAAACCUGACAAUGGUUGUUUAUUGGGCACGCCAGAAGGGAAGAUAACUUGCAGAAGAGAGGAUUGUUCCGAAGCCUAAUCAGAGACUUUUACAAGAACCAGGCGAUGUCGUAAGUGCUUAAUCUUCCCAGCAGAAGCAGUCUAUUUCUUUGAUUUACCUUUUUUAGCUUGAAAUGGUGCUGCGUGGAUGCUAAAAGCCCAUGCUCCUAAAAUAGAGUAGAAUAAGCACUUACAGUGAUGACUGUUUCAGGAGAGGAGAGGGAGAAGGUAACAAUGUAUAGCUAACACAUAUCAGGCCCAUUGCUUAAUGUAUCCAGAGACCUCAGACACUAUCAGUAGGAAUGUGGCAGAGGAACCCAGAGGGAACUAUUUCUAAUGAACCAGACUGUAU